ACAAACAUCUCGGAGAAUCGCGUUCGAAGCACACAUACGGAGCAACUUUCCUUCGCGGGGUUGCUCAUGGUUGCUUUGGGGAAAGUCCUCGAACACUUGGCAGAAAGUGUCGCUGCUCGCUGCGGGUCCUAUCUCCAUCCUUUUUUGCUCUGUGCCGCUCUUCCGCUCCGCCGUUGGCAAAUACCUGGUCAUCAGGAGCUGGUGGUGGUGGGAGGGCGGGUGAGAGUGUACUAGGGGAUGUGGUUCGUUAUAGCACAGUUAUGCGAUUGCAGUUCCGUUUUACGGGAUUGUAACUCAACGAGGCUUACUCCUGAGCGUUUG
rnacentral:RNase_MRP_RNA from 2 species